rnacentral:rRNA from 1 species
GUACUCGAGUGGCGAACGGGUGAGUAACACGUGGGCAUGCUGCCCUGCACUUCGGGAUAAGCCUGGGAAACUGGGUCUAAUACCGGAUAGGACCUCAAGACGCAUGUCUUCUGGUGGAAAGCUUUUGCGGUGUGGGAUGGGCCCGCGGCCUAUCAGCUUGUUGGUGGGGUGACGGCCUACCAAGGCGACGACGGGUAGCCGGCCUGAGAGGGUGUCCGGCCACACUGGGACUGAGAUACGGCCCAGACUCCUACGGGAGGCAGCAGUGGGGAAUAUUGCACAAUGGGCGCAAGCCUGAUGCAGCGACGCCGCGUGGGGGAUGACGGCCUUCGGGUUGUAAACCUCUUUCACCAUCGACGAAGGUCCGGGGUUUUUCUCGGAUUGACGGUAGGUGGAGAAGAAGCACCGGCCAACUACGUGCCAGCAGCCGCGGUAAUACGUAGGGUGCGAGCGUUGUCCGGAAUUACUGGGCGUAAAGAGCUCGUAGGUGGUUUGUCGCGUUGUUCGUGAAAUCUCACGGCUUAACUGUGAGCGUGCGGGCGAUACGGGCAGACUAGAGUACUGCAGGGGAGACUGGAAUUCCUGGUGUAGCGGUGGAAUGCGCAGAUAUCAGGAGGAACACCGGUGGCGAAGGCGGGUCUCUGGGCAGUAACUGACGCUGAGGAGCGAAAGCGUGGGGAGCGAACAGGAUUAGAUACCCUGGUAGUCCACGCCGUAAACGGUGGGUACUAGGUGUGGGUUUCCUUCCUUGGGAUCCGUGCCGUAGCUAACGCAUUAAGUACCCCGCCUGGGGAGUACGGCCGCAAGGCUAAAACUCAAAGGAAUUGACGGGGGCCCGCACAAGCGGCGGAGCAUGUGGAUUAAUUCGAUGCAACGCGAAGAACCUUACCUGGGUUUGACAUGCACAGGACGCGUCUAGAGAUAGGAGUUCCCUUGUGGCCUGUGUGCAGGUGGUGCAUGGCUGUCGUCAGCUCGUGUCGUGAGAUGUUGGGUUAAGUCCCGCAACGAGCGCAACCCUUGUCUCAUGUUGCCAGCGGGUAAUGCCGGGGACUCGUGAGAGACUGCCGGGGUCAACUCGGAGGAAGGUGGGGAUGACGUCAAGUCAUCAUGCCCCUUAUGUCCAGGGCUUCACACAUGCUACAAUGGCCGGUACAAAGGGCUGCGAUGCCGUAAGGUUAAGCGAAUCCUUUUAAAGCCGGUCUCAGUUCGGAUUGGGGUCUGCAACUCGACCCCAUGAAGUCGGAGUCGCUAGUAAUCGCAGAUCAGCAACGCUGCGGUGAAUACGUUCCCGGGCCUUGUACACACUACCCGUCACGUCAAGAAAGUAGGAAACACCCGAAGGAGAAGGCCUAACCC